GGUCUAUACUGAUAUCCAAAGGCAACCUAUUCACUGGGGGCAAAUCAAAACCAACCUUGAGAAAAGAGGAAAACCAAAAUUUAAAGUUACAAAGUUUGGGUACAUUGCAUCUAUUGAAAUUGAUCCCGUGAGCCGUUCACCCACAAUGAAGGCAUCAUUUGAGUUAGAGGCAUAACUGCCUUUGCUUCUUCAUAAAGCUAUGCUGGUAAUUAAGGCUAUCAAAAUUAAAUAAUAGUGUGCUGCCUGCUGCUGCAUUACCUGUACUACUGUUAUGGUAAUAAGUUUUGAUAGCCAGUACAACCAUUAGAAAGUGUGUAGGCCUUCACAAUCAUGUCAGUGCCAUGUGUGUAUACAUGGUUGACUGUUUGUAUAAUACUAUGGAAAAAUAAAACAGAAUGGCCUUUACUAUUUUAUCUUUUGACUCAAUUUAUACUCUAUGUUUUCUCCAACUUCUGCGUCCAUCCAUCAAAUCAUCAAACGACAAACCAGGAACCAUAACAUAGUAAAUCGGACAACAAAUAAACCCCCAAAAACAAACCAUGUUUCCAACAGCAGAAUAAAACAUAACUAGCAUCCCAGCAACUCAAUACAUAACCAGUAGCAGCAACUGCCACCAAGUUUUAAAACAUGCUGGAUUGGUAAAAGUCAGCAAUGGUCAAGCCAUCGGUUACACAUUCUACCUGAAGCUUUGACAAUACAGACAUCACCAAUAGCUUAAACCAAAUCAUCAAUGUCAACACAACUUUCUUGUAGAAUCCAUGGCCAAUGGAGCUAAUUUAAAUUCCGUACCUGUGUAUGCAAUCAAUGUUGGGUGGGAAUGCAAUCUAAUUCAAAUAAAUCUUACUUGAGCGUGUUUGUUGGAUAAAAUUAGGUCUCUCUCGUUUGUAACUCUAUCGGUAAGUUAAAUUCUAAACGUGAAUUUAUAGGGUUGUUCAUUGAUAAGGAGAUUAAUUUCAACAGCUUUCUCUUGGUUAUCGAUAAAUUAAGUAGAGACUGAUUGCUAGGCACGACAUUGGCAACUUUAACUAAUCUAUUAAAAAACAAUAAAAUUAUCUUUGCAUCGAUGAUUAAACUUGUGAAUCAAACGGAUAUUUUACAAUUGGCUAGAGCUCCAUUUGAUUGGUAUUUCUUCAAUUUUUAUUAUUGCCUUCUUGGUUAAGAUUUAAAUUUAAAUUUAGUUUUUUAUUUUCUAAAAUCUCCAUCAUAUUUACUUUCCUUGUUUUUGUUUUAAAAAAUAAAGUUAAUAUCAAUCUCUAUGAAUACUACUCUACUUAAUACUAUGUACUAAAUUUAUAUUUUUUAGUAGGAUUUUAUUUUUAUAGGUCUCCACAAUUGUACAAAUUUUAGCCUUUUUAUCAUAUAUUAAUGUUAAUAAUUUUAUCUCUUUCUUGUUUUUAAUUUAAUUUAAUUUUUGUUCCUUUUUAUGUUUUGGUCUUUCUUUCUUUUUUCUGUCAUAAAAUAUAUUUAUUAAAAUUAAAAUUUUGAUCUUCUUGUGUAGGUGAAAUAGUACAAUCUUGAGUUAGAGAGAACUGCUCGAAGACUAAGGAAGAGAGUUCAAGCGAGAACUAACCCACCGUCUUCAUUACCCAACUAGUUACAUAGAACAACUCAGUCGAUUCAUCUACCGAAUCAAAAGGAGAAGAACCAAUUUCUCUCUUAAAAAAUUCUGAAGCAACAACUGGUAUGCAUUGAGUAUCUUAGAUUAGAGGUAUCUUUUGAAUCAUCUAUUGCCUACUUUUUGUGGUCAAGAAAACGAAGAUCCUCAUAAGCACUUGAAGGACUUCCAUGUAGUGUAGUUUGUUCUACUAUGAGACGACAAUGUGUGAUCAAAGAACAAACCAAACUAAGAGCCUUCCCGUUUUCACUAGCCAACAAGGUGAAGGAUUGGCUAUGUUAUCUACCUCCUGGAUUGACAUGAUAAGAUUAUUUUCGGAUUUUUUUUUACGUCAUGUGCUACUUCUACUAGGAAAAAGUUACAGCAUCAAGCAAAACGGCAUGGAGACUCCACGAGUAUUGGGAGAGAUUUAAGCAAUUAUGUGCUAGUUGCUCCCAUCAUAGAAUUUUGGAACAAUUAUUCAUCCAAUAUUUUUAUGAAUUACUCCUACCCAUGGAAAUAAAUAUGAUGGAUGUUGUCAACGAAGGUGUCAUAGUGAAUAAAACUCCUCAUGAGAUCAGAAAGUUAAUUUCGAUCAUGGCUGCUAAUUUGCAGUAGAUCAAAUUCAGCUAUGACAAACCGAUAAGAGUAAAUGAGGUAAAUGUCACUUCUCUUUUAAAAUAGAAUUUCUGAACUGACUUCUUUUACUGAUCAGAUGGUUGUAGGAAACUCUCGUCAUGUAAAGGGUUGUGGGAUCCGUGUAUAUUCAAUCCAUAAUCGAGACAGAAUAAGGAGUCACCCACUUGGUUGGAAAUUAGAAAUUCAAUGGGAUAGGAUACUUUAUCCGAUUGGAUCUAACAUUCUGAAGAGAUUAGUAUGUUGUUUUUAUGGCCAUGUUUUCCAGACCAUGAGGCAUUCAACACUUUGAAACACUGCUUAGUUAAUCUAUACCAUACUUAUGUGUUUUAAUGAUGAGUUGGUGUGAUGGAUUAUUACUUCAGUUUUAAAAUUAUUAAAAAAUUCUUUUAUAUACUAAUUAAAUUAUAUUUUUGUAAUAAUAUUUUUUUAUUAUCUUUUUUACAUAUAAUAAAUCAAUAAAAAUUUGAUCAUAAAGAUAUUUGAAUUCAAAAUAUCAUGCAUAGAUAUUGCCAUCCCAUUUUUUUUAAACAAUUCAUCAAAUUUCAACUAAAAUUGCAUAUCAAUUUUCAAUUGAUUAGAUAUUAAUUUUUUUUAAAAAUUAAAUAAUGUUAAUUUUCAAUUGAUUGAAUUUUUUCAACACUUUCUCAAACAGGCAUAUGAGAAAUUUAGCACAAAUACCAACAGCUGGUAGCGCCCGCCCACGAGUCGUAGAAGUAAUCGGAUGCGCUAAUGGUUGAGUGAUACCCAAAACAAACUGAGCCUUCAACCUUUGCCUAUGAAAUUUGUCAGCAAAAUCGACAUCAUGUUGCGAGGAAAACACCUCACCCUUCCAAAAAAAAACAAGUUAUGAUGGAACCAAAUGCUCCACAAAAUAGUAAGAGUCCAACAAACUCUAUUAACAUCAACUGACUCAAGCAAAGUGCGAAUAAAAUGGAGAACAUCAAAAUGCGGAUGUGGGAGUCCAGAAUAUUACCAAACCACCCGAGUGAGCGCACAAGAAUUAAAAACGUGAUCAAGCGUUUCCAACUCUCCACGUCGGAUACAAAUAGAAGGCACAUUUAAUCCUUUAACAAUUAACAUUGCCUUGGUAGGAAUAAAGUUUCUGAGACACCUCCGAUGGGAAAUGGCCAUUCCAAAUCUUCAAUCAAGGACCACCGGCUUCAUUCGAAACAGAAUUGGAAUACAAAUCAGAGGCUAACUUGCAUCCUGAUUUUAUUGAAUAUGAUCCAUUACUAGACCAACGCCAAAUCAUCUUAUCCAAUCCUUUAUGCAGAGCUAUCGGGAUCUUAUAAAUGCAACUACAAUCAACUUAUCUCAGACAUCAUCGGUAUCACUAAGUAAAUCGCACACCUUCUAAUGUUCCAUACCCAGCAAAGGAAUAGAAUCAAUAUAGAAAUUAUAUAUAUUCAGGUUAGGUUGGGCUCGGGCUUAAAAACUCUACUCAAGGCCCGAACGGGCCUAUACAUUUUUUCAAGCCCAUUUUUUUAGCUUUAUCUACUUGUCCAAACCCUCUCAUAUUUCGAGCAAGCUUUCAAGUUCAGAGGGGUAACUUGACACUUAGACAACUCUAAAUUAAAGCAUAGUAAACAAUUAACUUUACAUUUAUAAUAAAAAAUACCAAUUGAUUUUUAUGUGAAUUUUUAAUAAAUAUAUUUUUAAAUAACUUUAUUUUUCAUUUAUAUUAUAAAUAUAAGUGUAUCAUAAAUCUCGUAUUUAUUAAACAUCUCACUUUAAUAAAUAAGUAAGGAUGCUAACAAACAUAUUCCUCUAUAAUGGAUCAGGGAGCUGAAUAUAUGCUUUAAAAGAUGGUGACAAUUAGCAUGUAUAUACACACACACACGCAUGUAUACAUUUCAAUUAGCCAGGUAAAAGGCAAAAUCAAGCACAUGCACAUGAUAAUGAUGAAUGAAGGCACUUGCAUAUUCCCUUUUUUUCCUAAGAAAAACAAAAAGGAAAUUAACAUGCAUAUAUUCAUUUGGUGAGAACAUAUAUUUGGAAGGCAAAUCCUUUUAUCUGCUCACCUUAUUUUGGAAUUAUGAAGUUUAAAGUGGAUGCAACCACAAAAGAGAUGUCUAGAUCGAUUAGGAAUAUAAUAUCAAAUAUUCUGAAAGAAAAAGAAAUUUUUUUAAGCGUAACAACUAUAAUAUAGUUACAAAUAUAAAUAAUCAUAAAUCGAUCGUUCUAAUAUAAUCGAGAUUAACAUUAAAUUAAGAUUAAUUAAAUUAAAACUCAAAAACCUUACGUAAAUAUUUAUGCAUAGUAAGUCUUAAACUGAAGUACUUACGAUCCAAGAAAUCCAUUUUUGUCAACUGAACUAAAAUCUCAUUUGAUUGAAUUUUAAAUAUUUGGUUAUUCUUUAAAAAUAGUAAAAUAAAAAAUUUUCAAAAAGUAAAAAAAAAAUUAAAUCUAGUAAUGUCAUUAAUAUUAUACAUGCUAAAUUGCAUGUACACAAUUUUUUUAAAAAUUAAAUAUUACAUAAAAUACGAUACGUUAGAAAGAGUAAUUUGAUAUUAAAAGAAAUUCAAACGCUAAUUUAAUACGAAAUAUAAUUUCUAAAAACUCUUUAGCACGAAAAUUUAAUAUCCUUAGUAAUUGGGUUCGGUUAAAUAAAGAUGGUUCAAUCAAAAUCGAAGAAAGUUUCAUUGUGGCUAGAGGAUUAGUGAGUAACCAUAAUAGGGGUGGAUAAUUGGUUUCGACAAAUACUUUGGAAAUUGUACAGUUUAAAAGGCUGAAUUAUGGGGUGUAUUUGAUGGUCUAAAACUUAUUAGAGAUCAAAACUUUGAUAGAGUUUACCUUGAAGCUGUUAACACAAUUUAGGAAAGUUCUUUCGGAGACUCAAAUUCCACUUUAGUUAAAAGAAUUCAUUAGCUCUUAAGAAGGAUAAAACAUUGGAGGAUUCAACAUAUCCUUCGAAAAGAGAAUUUAAUUGUGGAUAGAAGAACAGUGUAAUAUACGAAAAAUCCUCUUUUGGAGAAGCUAGUUUAAUUUAGUUUUUUUUCUUUUUGCUUUAUUUUACAAAAAAAGAAAUUGAUAUUAAAAUUUUAUUUUAUAUUUUUCUCCAAGAUACAAUUUUCAUCUAUAUUUUUUUUUCAAUCAUCCACGUAAUAAAUGUGACGUAAUCUAACAUGAUUUUAACUUAAAGAGUAUCUUAUGCUUUCGUGACUAUGUUAAGUGGCUUUUGGAAAUUCAAGAUUCCACCAGUUCUUAUUUAAUAACUAUUAAUGUUGUCCGAAAAUGAUUUUUAAAAAAUAAAUUGAUUUUAAAAAAAUUGAUAGAUUUUAUUGUUUGGAUAAUUUUUUGUAAAAUAUUUUUCGUUAUUUGAAAAAUAUUUUUGGAAUCAUUUUAUAAAAAUUGUUCUUCAUGAACAAGCAUAGCAUAAAUAUAUUUGUUGCAAAAUAUUAUAAUACAAUUUCCUUUUGACAAUUUAAUUUAAUUUUAUAAUAAGAUGAUACUUUGUAAUAAUCAAUAUCAUAUAUAAACUUGAUAAUAAAUAAUGCCUAAUUAAAAUUUAAUUUACUUUACAUAUAUUCUAUAUAUGAGAUAAAUUAAACUAAACAUUAUUUAAACAAAUACUCAUAUUUCAAAUUUUAUAUUAAGUUACAAAAUUUCAUAAGUCCUUGUAUUCUUUGUAAAUUUUAAAUUUAGUCCCUAUAUUUCUAUUUUUGAAAAUUUGAUCAUAAUUAUAUUUAAACUCAAAACAUCAUGCAUAGAGCUGUUGUAACGCCCCAAAAUCUUAAACUUUCGAUUUAUUAAAUUUUAUUAUUAGUCAAUAUUUGCUUCAGUGGUUAAUGGUCUUUAGUGUGGCUUGGAGAUCACUAGUUUGAAUUUUUGCGUGGGUGUGGGGUGAUUUUAUUUUGUUAAACGACUUUGAGUGCUGUUUAGUGAACGGAGUUUAUGUUAAGAGUUGAACUCAACCUGUAAGGCUGUUUGGAUUGAGGGUUUGUUUUGAAAAGAUUUAGCUAAUUUAUUUAUUAUUUUAUUUUGUUUUGUUUCAAAACUACCCACUUUACUCACGUUACCUAUCUUUCUCCCCAAUUUUGUUUCAUACAUUUUUCUUUUCUUCCUUUUUCUUUCAAGCUACUAUGUUUUUGACGUUCUUGCUGAUUUUCUUUUACCCAAAUAUUUCGUCUUUGAUUUUGAUUCUUCUUUUUAUUUUAUUGAUUGCCAAGCUGAGGUUGCUUAUAAUCUCUGUUUUUUUCAUUUCUUUUUCUAUUAUUUCUCCCUGGUAUGAUUUAGUGACGUUGGGUAAGUUUUAAUGCUAUUCUUGGAUUUAUAAUUUUUGGGGGCUUGGUUCUUUUGAUGUUUGUUGUGAAGGUUUAGUUUGGAAAUUUGAUUUUAUGUGAGUUAUGUUUAGGUGAGGAUUGUGUGAUGGUGGGUUCUUCGACGAAUUGGAUUCGCUCAAGUUGUGAUCGAUAGGAGGUGAGUGUUCUGCUAUUAUGGGGUUAGUUCGUAUCGAUUUCUAGAUUCGUUCAUGUAGGAUUUGUUACAUUAAUCGUUUAAGUUGGAGAAAUUAUGUUGUUAAUUUGUAUUAUUUUGUCAAUUUAGGUAUUAGAAUAUUUUUUUUUGGAGUGUGCAUCAGAUUUUUGACCAGGUGUGAGAAACCCAAAAAACAACAAACAACGAAAGCUAAAAAAUUGUAUUGUCGACACCACACGGUUGUGUGGUAGGCCGUAUGUUGGACCGUGUGUGACACACGGUCUAGGCUAUUUGGGCUGUGUGGACCACAUGAGUGUGUGGGCCAUACUGGCAUGUGUGAGGCCAUUUGGGCUACACAGGCUAGGCCAUUUGGACCAUGUGAGCCCAAAUUUCUAAAUUUUUCUCUAGGGUCGUACACAUCGUUCUGAUCGAUCAUAGGCCUUCUGUGAGGUCGGUAUGUGAUCAAAUAGACUUUAAAGCAUGAAAUCCGGUGAACUGUUAGUAUAAAUUAUGAUAUCUAUUCAUAUAUUUGAGAUGUUAUUUGUUAAAUAAACCUUGUAAUAAGAUAUAAGAAACCCGAGAAAUGCUAUGUAUGUUUUGUAUUUGUUAUGUCAUGCAUGUAUAAAUGUAGCAUUAUGAUUAUGUUUUGUUCUAUAUUUGCAUCUAGGAUGGGUUAUAUUAUGUGGAGGAAGUGUUUUUGUGAAUGGCGAUAAUUUGUCUAUUACACUGGCAACUUAAUUGCAAAUAUUCUGAAAAGUGUCAUAUCGACAGUAAAUGGUGUGUAGGGUUGGAUGGGUAUUUCAGACCAUAUAUGGUGUGUUGGGAUGGUCGGAGAUGGUGUGGAGCGGAUGGGGGUAGGAAUAUAUGUAUGUAUCUGUACUUCUCUAAUAUGAAUCUGUCGCAAGUGAAUAUGAUAUACGAAUUGUGUAAGUGUAAACAUCGAAUCAAAUAAUAAAGUGAUUAGUGUGUAUCGUUCCCACGAUGAUCGAAUUAGGUACACAAAUGGUCAAUAUAAUAUAAUAAAAUGUGAUUAAUACUAUGGUAAAACUAUGGUAAGUAUGCAGUGACAAUUAAAAGGAAUAAUGAUGUAUGCAAUAUAUGGAGUUAAUGAAUACUUGGAAAUGCUAUGGCAAAAUGAGAGUAGGAAUGUAAUGACAAUUAUGAAAAAGAUUAUAUGAUUAAUAUGUAACUGACAAAUUAACAACUAAGGAUGUGAUGUCAAAGAUACUACGACAAAAGGUAAGGGUUAUGCGAUGUUGAGUGGGAAGGUCGGGAUUACUAAGAAUCUACUUUUUCUGUCAGCAAUGCCUUAGAAAAAUCAUACUUAACCUACUUCUUUGAAGAGUUCUAAAGUGACCUGCUUCUUUCGGAAGUAGAAACAUCAAGUUACCUCGCCUGUGUCUAUAGGCCUUUGAUAUGGUACCCUGCACUUUUUCCUUCUGUAUGAACGUUGCUCUAUGUCUAGAGUCUACUACAAGUAUCUGUAGAGUACUCGCUCAUAUCAUUCAACCAUGGUCUAACUAAUCUAACCUUUUAGACUUUAGAUUAAUUUAAGGGUAUGCUGCAUAGUCGACUAUGUCUAGGGAUUGCUCACAGACAUUUUAAAGAAUAAAACAAUUGAAUGAAAUAGUAAAAUAAUUCAGAUUUAUAUUGUAGUCAUUAAAGACAGUUAAAGUUCAAUAAAGUAACCCCAACCACAUGAGAUUUAGCUCAUAGGUUGGCAAAUAAAAUUUAACUUGUCGUUUUCAUCACUGUAAUUAACGAAUGAACAUAUUAGAAAUAAUGGAAGAAUGUCGGGAAGACAGUGUUCACUUGUCCAAUCAACACUCCAGCUGCGCAGUGUCCUGAGGUGGUUAAGAGGGACUGCCUUUGUUUUUCCUUUUCUUGUCUCUAUUCAGCCUCUACCUUUCUAUUGCGCCUCAGGUUCUCACCUUUUGUUCACUUCUAGGGUUUCCUCCUUUUCUUUUUUUUAUUUUUUCUUUUUCAGAAUAACUCCAACGGCUCAAGAUUUAUCUUCUCCUCUUUUCUAGGCAGAUUUAUCUGGUACAAGUAGAGUUGGAUUGAAACUGAUAUAAGUUAAAUGUUGACUAGACACCUUUUUAACAUUGCCAUGGCAUACGAAUUGGAAAUUUGACCACCUUUUUGCCCUAGCAAAACUUCACUCUUUUAUUUCUUGUUCCUUACCCUACACCUGCCAAUACCACAAAACACAACCUUUUCACAAGCGAUUAAAAGUACCUAAUAUUUAAGUGCAGCCCAAGUUCUAAUGCAAUGCUAAAAAUACUAAUUAAAUGUCCUAAAAUGCAACUAGAUGUACUUCAGUAUAGGCAAUUAACUAGGUCAAAAGGCAUGAAAUAUAACGCUUGAAACAAGAGUUAUCUGUCUGAUAUAAAUUAAUUGUUUAAAGUUAUCCGUUAUACACUGAGUUUUGUAAGCUCACUUUCUAUUUGUCUAAUAUUUUCAGGUAAUGCUCAAACUUAGGUGAACUGGUGUGAUAAAGCUUGGUUAAAUUGAUUUAGUUUCAUUUUUUAUUUAACUUAAAUUUGGGGUUAUUGCAUUUCAUUAUUAUUGGACUGUUGAGACUUUUUGGACUAUUUUGAUUUUGGGGAUUUUAUUUUCAAAUUUUGCAUGAUACUAUUAAAAACAUUUUGUCGAAAAUGUUUCUUUUCCUACAAAACAACUGAUUUUGAGAAAAUAAACUUGGUUUUCCAAAAUAUAACGAUCUGAGAAUUUCCGCUGCUAAGUAUUCAUUUUAGAAAAUGUAAGCAAACAUUGUUUUCAACUAUAAAGUUAAGUUGGAUGUAUUUUUCUAUUAAACUGGGGUUUAAGUAAUAAAAGUUUACAACAUUUUCCCAAAAUUUACAAAAAACUGGAUUUACAACCGUUUAAUGUAACAUCUCCAUAUUUGAUCAUAACGUCUAGGCUGGGCUUAGGUUGUUACAUUUAGUGGUAUCAGAGUAAAGUUGCAAAACUUAGGUUGUGAAAUUCAAAAUUUUUUUCCGAGUAAAGUUCCUUUCUACAUUAAUCGAAAAAAUAAUUCUGUGAAAUCCCGAGUCUCCGGUGUCGAUUCUGUAAGUACUUCUGACUUAGAUAAACCUUAGUUUAGAAAACUUUAAAUUGGUUAGAACCAUACUGUGAUAAUUAGAGACUGAAACAUCUCUGUAUAUUCUUCUAAUAAGUUUUUGAGCAUAAAAUAUCUACCAAUAAAUACUGGAACUGAUACAUAAAAUUUGUAAUGUAGAUAAUAUAUACGAUGAGUACUUAUGGAACACGUAGACUCGAUACCCGUUUGUGCGGUGGGCACCGAAGAGGGGCUCGAGCUGAGUCGUCCUUGAUGGGUAGUAUGCCUAAUUUGGAUACAAGCGAGACAUCAGGUACACCUACUACUGAGACUGGGUCUCAAAGUUGCUCGGCUGGGAUCGACUCAUUGUCCCAUGCCAUACUCAAGGUUUUGGAGAGGUCGUUGGACCCAUUUUGGUCUUGAGAGCCGUGGGUCAGUAACUGAACGAAUUUGGUCCAAUGGUGCUGAAUUAUUCAGGGGUGUUACUAGAUUCACCCCAGCUGUGGCCGAAUAUUGGUAGGAGGCCACAUAGAGGAUUAUGAACGAUAUCACUACACCCCUGAGCAUAAAUUAAAAGAUGCAGUACCAUUGCUUUGCAAUGUGGUAUAUCAGUGGUGGUUGACGGUUGAUAAGGGUACUCAGUCGAAUCAGAUUACGUGGGAUCAUUUUAAGAGCGCCUUCCAGAGUAAAUAUGUGAGGGCGAGUUUUAUGGAUGCUCAUAGACGUGAGUUUAUAAGCCUUACUCAGGGGGAAAAGGCUAUGGUCUAGUUUGAGGCUGAAUUCCUAAGAUUGAGCAUAUAUGCUCGUGGGCUAGUAUCAAAUAACUAUUAUAAGUGUAUCCGCUUCGAGGAAUGCUUAAGAGAUAAUCUCAGGGUUCUGAUAGCUUCGCAAAGGGAGCAGGUUUUUGCCAUCUUAGUGGACAAGUCGAGAAUUUCUAAGGAGGUUAAGCGUGUUGAGCGUGAAAGUAGGGAUCGUGAGAGAGGUAACAAUAAGAUGGAUUCAGAGCCCUCUAGUCCUAUUUCAAGGCCUAAGAAACGGGUUAGAUCUGAUUGGCCUCCGAGGGUUGAGGUUCCUGUUGCUCCUACUGUGGUUCAGCUGUGUAGAAAUUGUGGUAGGCAUCAUCUGGGAAAAUAUUUGAGGAGGUUAGGAGCUUUUUUACGAUGUGGGUCAAUGGAGCACCGCAUUAGGGAUUGUCCACAGCAUUCUAAUCAGGUGCACGCUCUAGCUUCAGGUUUAGUUUAGCAUCAGCGGGUAGUUCAGUAGCCGCCUAGAGGCUGUGGUACGGCUAGGGGUGGUAACGGUAUAGGUAGAGGUCAAAGAGUAUCGGGGUAAAGGUGUUAAUCAGACUGAAGCUAGACAGUUUGCACUAGUAUAUGUGACUAGACCUCGUAAGGACAAAGAUACCGCGGAUGUUAUCACUAGUACGUUAUUCAUUCAUACUACUCCCUAUAUUGCUUUGAUAAAUAUAGUACCGACACACUCUUAUAUAGCUAGUUCUGUCUUUGUGAACUUGGGUAUGUCUGUUAAGAGCACUUUUGGAGAGAUUACUGUGGUUAGUCCACUGAGUCAGUCAGUUCGGGUUAACAGGUUUUAUAGGAAUGUACCACUGGAAUUUUAAGGGGUUGUGUUUACAGCUAAUUUGAUGGAGUUGCCAUUAAGAGAAUUUGAUUUAAUUUUGGGAAUAAACUAGCUCAUAGAACAUCGGGUCAGUUUGGACUGUGCUACUAAGAAAGUAGUUUUGAGAUUUGAGAAUGAUGUGGAAGUGAUUAUAAUUAGCGAGUGUCGGAAUUACUUAUCCAAUGUGAUCUCCGCUCUUAUGGCUGAAAAGUUGGUUCGUAAAGGAUGUGAGGCAUUUCUGGCCUAUGUGUGUGAUUCAACUUCUGUGGAUUCAUUUGUUUAGUACAUUCAAAUGGUUAAGGAGUUUCUGGAUGUCUUUCCUGAGGAGUUGUCAGGUUUGUCUCCGGAUCAGGAAGUCGAGUUCAGUAUCUAGAUUAUACCAGGUGCAGCUCCGGUGUCCAUUGCUCCCUACUACAUGGCACCGAAAUAGCUUAUGGAACUAAAAGCUCAGCUUCAGGAACUCCUCGAUCGAGGGUUCAUUUGACCUGGUGUGGCCUUAUGGGGAGCAUCGGUUCUAUUCGUAAAGAAGAAAGAUGGUACUAUGAGGUUAUGUAUAGAUUACCGUCAGCUAAAUAAAUUGACGGUAAAAAAUAAGUACCCAUUUCUGAGGAUCAAUGAAUUGUUUGACCAGUUUCGUGGGGCUUCUGUGUUCUCCAAGAUAGAUCUUCGUUUUGAUUAUCAUUAGCUUAAGGUUAAAGAGGUCAAUGUUCAUUAGAUUGCUUUUAAGACUCGUUGUGGGCACUACGAGUUCCUAGUCAUGCCAUUUGGUUUGACGAAUGAUCCGGCUACAUUCAUGGACCUUAUGAACCGAGUCUUUCAACCAUGAGAUUUUGGUAUACUCUAAUAGUGAAGAUGAUCAUGAUAAUCAUCUUAGAGUACUUCUUCAGAUACUCUGUGAGAAACAGAUUUAUGCUAAGUUAAGCAAAUGUGAGUUUUUACUUAAGGAAGUCACCUUUCUGGGUCAUGUGGCUUCUGCUGAGGAGAUCUGAAUUGAUCUUAAGAAAAUUGAGGCUGUGCUUGAGUGGAAGCAACCUAAGAAUGUUUUUAAGAUCCGCAGCUUCCUUGGGUUAGUGGGUUACUAUCAGAGGUUUGUCGAGGAGUUUUCACUUAUCGCAGCUCCUCUAACUAAGUUACUGCGUAAGAACGCAUCAUUUAUCUUGACUGAUGAGCAGCAAUCGAUCUUUAAGAAACUCAAAUUUUUUUACUCAGGCUCCUGUUUUGAACAGUUUGAAUGCAAUAAGGAGUUUGUGGUUUAUAGUGACACAUCACAGGUUGGUUUGGGUUGUGUUCUGAUGCAAGAUGGUAAGGUAGUGGCUUAUGCAUCCUGACAGCUUAAGUCACAUGAAGGCAACUAUCCCACGUAUGAUUUGGAGUUAGUUACGGUGGUCUUCGCCUUAAAAAUCUGGAGGCACUAUCUGUAUGGUGAAAGGUGUAUCAUUUACACCGGUCACAAGAGCCUCAAGUAUCUCUUUACUCAGAGAGAGUUAAACCUUAGGCAAUGUAGAUGGAUUCAGUUGCUUAAGGACUACGACUACACGAUUGAGUAUCAUCUCGAUAAGGCCAAUGUGGUUGCUGAUGCUCUUAGUCGUAGAGUAAUGUCUGACUUAAGGACAAUGUUUGCUCGCCUAGGUCUAUUUGAUGAUGGGAGUCUAUUAGUCGAGUUGCAAGUUAAGCUGACUUGGAUUGAUCAAAUUUGGGAUAAACAGUUGGGGGAUGAUUCUCUGGUUCUAUGUUUCUGUCAGGUUGAGGAAGGAAGUACUACUGAUUUUGGAUUGAACAAUGAUGGGGUUUUGUGUUUCGCAGGUCAAGUCUUUGUGCCUAAUGACUCUGAUUUGAGGUAAUUCAUUCUGCGGGAAGUGCAUAAUAGCCCUUAUGCUAUGCAUCCUGAAUUUUUAGCAUCAAGAAUAGGAAUAAAAAAAAGUUUUGAUAUGAAGUCUACAAAUUUCAUGCGCAUAAACAUUGUUGUUAUGGACAAUGCAUGCAUGGUGUAAACUACUAUAUAAGUAGGUGUGUAUUGCAAUAUCCGAAGCAUAACACAACCAAACCAAAGCACAUAGAAAGCUACCAUGGCUUCUUCUUAGAAAAUGGCUCAACAAACCACAAACGGAAAGCUUUGGAACUCUUCCAGCGAAGCUCUAACCUUAACUGACAAGAAAGUUUGGCAAAGCUCUCAUUAUGCGAAUUUUCCAGAAAUAAUUGAAGAUGGAGAUGCGGGCGAGUUUACCCAUGAAUCAGUGACUGAUGAUGCUGAUAUUCCAGGUUCAGUUGCUGGUCUUGUGUACAGGCGACGUGAUUGAACAAAGUGGGUUGUUGCCUGGAGCAACCCACUAGAUGAGAACAACAAGGUAUAUAUUAAAUUCAAUUCAAUCUUAUCAUUAAUUAACUAGUUAGAAUGCGUAUAUAUAAUCAUUUAAUCUAUGAUUAUUGCAUGCAUGCUGCAGGUCUAUACUGAUAUCCAAAGGCAACCUAUUCACUGUGGGCAAAUCAACACCAACAUUGAGAAAAGAGGAAAACCAAAAUUUAAAAUUACAAAGUUUGGGUACAAUGUACCUAUUAAAAUUGAUGCCGGGAGCCGUUCACCCACAAUUAAGGCAUCAUUUGAGUUAGAGGCAUAACUGCCUUUUGCUUCUUCAUCAAGCUGUGCUGGUAAUCAAGGCUAUCAAAAUUAAAUAAUAAUGUGCUGCCUGCAGCUGCAUUACCUGUACUACUAUGAUAGUAAUAAAUUUUGAUAGCCAAUAUAACCAUUAGAAAGUGUGUAGGCCUUCACAAUCAUGUCAGUGCCAUGUAUAUAUACAUGGUUGACUAUUUGUAUAAUAUUAUGGAAAAAUAAAAUAGAAUGACCUUUACUAUUUUAUCUUUUGACUCAAUUUAUACUUUAUAUUUUCUCCAACUUCCUCAUCGACCCAUCAAGUCAUCAAACUACAAACCAGGAACCAUAACAUAGAAAACUUGACAACAAAUAAACUCCCACCAGCAAACCAUGUUUCCAGCAGCACAAUAAAACAUAACUAGCAUGCCAGCAACUCGAUACAUUACCAGUAGCAGCAACAACCACCAAGUUUUAAAGCAUGCGAGAUUGGUAAAAGUCAGCAAUGGUCAAGGCAUCUGUUACACAUUCUACCUGACGCUUUGACAAUGCAGACAUCACCAAUAGCUUAAUUCAAAUCAUCAAUGUGAGCACAACUUUCUUGUAGAAUCCAUGGACAAUGGAGCUAAUAGCAACCCAAAAGUAAACAGGACAACUUUUUCGCUGAGAUAUCUAAUCUCGUGGUACAGGAUGGUUGAGGUUAAGGCUUAGAUGGUUGUGGAUUGACCUUGUUUGAUUACGGUAAGAUUGUCUUGGGAAAGCAUCUCUCGCAAUUGAGCUGGAGCCUUGGUUUCUAUAAGUCCAUUUUAAAAGCUUCUUAAAUAACAUACUGAAAAAUAGAUAAAGAAAAGAGAGUAAAAAAGGUACGCUGGGAGCCCCAGGAUAGUUAUCCCCAUAAAAACACAAGAACCAGAUCAAAACUUGCCCAAACAUGUAAAAGCAAAAGAACUACAAAACAAAAUCAAACCCACUAUUAGAACUUACAGUAUAAAAGAUCCCACAACGCCAUAAACAUUAUAUGAUCAACUGUCAUUCAGGCGUCAUCCACCUCAAAAGCCUCCUAAACAACAUACCGAAGAAAGAUAAAAGAAAAGAGUAGAGAGUUUAAAAGGUACCAUUUCAUACAGGAUAAGGUUUUCUCUCUGUAAUAGACUAAGUAAUUUAAAGUGAAAAAAAUGUAAAAUCAUUGAUGAAGUUAACAUGGAUUGUUAGAAAGUAAUGAUUUGGCAGUUAAAUUCUUUAAGAAGCUGUGAGAUUAUGGGGUGUGUUAUUUGUUUGAUGAGUUUUGCUAACUACAAUUGUUUGCUUAAUAUGAAAACAAUUAAUGAAAGUGCUACACUAAAGUGAUCAUUAUUGCUUGGCACUUGAAUAAUUGUGCAAAUGAAAACACAAAAAAUAUCAAGAUUUAUUUACGUAGUUUAGUCAGUGAGCAAUUCCACUAUCUUUAAUCACAAAUGCAAAAGGUGAUUCACACUCUAUUAGUCCCCAAGCAUAGAGAUCUCACUUUUAUCCCUAAAAAAUUAGAACACUCACCUCCAAAAUAGCCAUAGCAUGCAUGGCAUAACCAGGCAGAGUGCACGCGUGCGUAGUAGGGGACUAGGGGCAAGUAGGGCUAGCGCCACGACUCACACCCCCUUGCAAGCCUUGCACAAAUGCAACAGCUUCGGUUCCUUAGUUUGGGGAAGCUUUUAUCUAUUUUUAUAUUCGUUUGAUGUGAAACUUUAAAUUUUUCAUUCGAUCAAAAUUUUGCACAUCACGACAAAGUUGGAUCUUAGAAAAAUAUUGUUCAAACGUUCGAAAACUAGAAAAGUUCAAGAUCCAAAAUAUGCAUUGUGAAAAAAUUUGUAAUCUUUUACAAAUUUUCUUUUUCUAAAAUGGAGUCAUGAAAAUUUUUAGCUGUUUAGAGUUGAUUUUAUUUCUCAUUAUGAAUUAGAUAUUGAUUUUAUUAUGUUUAAUUGAAUGUUGAUAAAAUUGAUUAGCAUGUCAUGCAUAUAUGAUGAAGCAUGUUACAGAUUAUAAAAGAAUGUCACUUGAUCUUAUUUGCAUAUUUAAUCUUUCAUAUAUGAAAUUAGAAUUUAAAACUUUACAUGUUUUUGGGAUAGUAUAAUAAUACUUUGAGCCAGUUUUAACCCAUAGCCUCUAUUAAUGGUAUCUAAGGGAUAGUAUAAUAAUACUUUGAGCCAGUUUUAAUCUGGCUGCAUCCUAUGAUAAGUAUUAUCAUGUGGAUCACAGGAUGAGAUUUUCUUUAAAAGGAUAACAAGUCAUAUAUGAUUCUUAUUAAGAUUAUCUCAUGAUAACUCGAGAAUAUAUUUAUAAUGGUUGUUAAGUUAAUUGUUAUACACUCAAAUUACAUUAGUUAAAUAGCUUCCCGCAAGGCUAUAUUUAAGUUAAAAUAAUGACAAAUGUGAAACCACUAUUAAUAACACAAGUUAUACAUGUAGUUCGGUUUCUAUAUAUUUGAGGAAUCUAAUUGAGUGAUUAAAUCUACUAUCUUUAGUCCUAAUGCAAAAAGUGAUUUAAUACCUAUUACACUCCAGUGUAGCAAACUCACUUUUUUAACUAAAGAUCUAAAUCACCCACCUCUAAGUUCCUCCUCAAAAAUUUAGUCUAAAAACUUCUUUGCAGUAUCAAUUACAAGUCUCUCCAAUCAAUUCCCCUAUAAAACUGUAGUUAAAAUAAUAUAUACAAUAUAAUAACAAAGUCCAAGGUAAUUUGUAGAUACUAGAAAAAAAUAUUCAAGAACUCUCGAUCCAAUCUUAUUUAAAGGGAUCUGAAUGCUUGAUCCAAUCCAAUCCAAUCCAAUUUAAUAUUGAAGAUAUGUUUCUCCAUUUAAACGGUCUUCAAAGAUGCUUCCAAACAUCCAAGAAAUCAUCUAAGUCAUUGCUUGACUGAUUUUGUUGAAAAGAUUAAAACUCCAAAUAAUGCAAGUCAUAUUGUCUGACGCAAUGCUAAAGCAUCUUGGAUUUUAAGUGAAUCUAUUUUCAUAACUCGGGUUUUCUUAUGCCUGUUUAUGUAGAAAAUUGAUUAAUAUUUGGAGAAAUAAAACAAAGAAAAUGAUGUAGAAUAUAAUGGAGAAGAGAAAUAAAUUUUGUAUGGAAGAGAGAAACACCCUUUCUAAUAAACUUUUCUUUUUUAUUUCACACACUCUACAAAUGCUUCAUCACAUACAACUCUUUAUAUAGGAGUUGUAAGUGACUAUUCAUCUACAUCACUUAAAUGCUAUAGGAGUUGUGACUAUUCAUCUACAUGCAUGUGUGUAACUCUUCAUCUUCAAGUCUCUUCAUAUUUCUAACUCUUCAUAAUUUAUUUUGUGCAAGAUUAAUUUAAUUAUGUGCCAACAAUGCCUCCCUUAAAUUAAACUUGCUUCGAACUCCCAACCUUUCAACAUUUUUCUUGAAGACUUGUCCACUAAGCGGCUUUGUGAAGUUAUCAGUGAUCUGAUCUUCCGUCUUGCAAUAUUUAACUUGAACAUCACCAUCAUUUACCAGUUCCCUCAAGAAGUGAUAUCGAAUGCAAAUGAGUUUAGUCCUUCUAUGAAGAACUGGAUCCUUUGUGACCGAAAUAGUAGAACUAUUGUCACAAAACAAAAUCGUUGACUUGUUCUGCUUCUGCUUAAGACUCUCCAAAAUUCCAUGUAACCAAAUCAAUUGACAUCUUGUAUAAGAUGCAAUGAUAUAUUCAGCUUCUGUAGUCGAAAGAGCCACAAAUGAUUGUUUCUUUGAGCUCCAUGAAUCUGCACCACUACCAAGGUGAAAAACAUAACCAGAAGUGCUUCUGCUAUCAUUAAUGUUUCCUUCUAAAUCACUAUUUGUAUAACCAAUGAGAUCAACUAAUGUAUUAGCUUUAUAGAAAAUUCCAUAAUCAAUGGUUCCCUUCACAUAUCUCAAUAUUCUCUUAGCAGCCUCCAAGUGAUUGGAGUAAGGUUUCUCCAUGAAUCUACUCACCAAGCUAACAACAUACACGAUGUCAGGCCUUGUCGAAGUCAGAUACAUAAACUUUCCAACCAAACUUCUGAAUAUGAUGGAAUUGACAAGCUUUCCUUCACCCUCUUUAGAUAACUUCAGACCUUUGAUGCAUGGAGUAGAGAUUGGAUUAGCAUUUUCCAUCUUGAACUUUUUUAGAACUUCCUUUGCGUAGCUCUCUUGUGAAAUAAAAAUUCCUUUCUCGGAUUGAUAAACUUCAAUGCCAAGAAAAUGAUGAAGUUCUCCCAAAUUUGUCAUCUGAAAUUCUGCCAUUAUUGAGUGCUAAAAUUCUUUCAACAUAUUCACAUCAUUUCCUGUGAAAAUAAGAUCAUUAACGUAGAUACUUAAAACCAUGAAUCUUCCUUGAGAAUUGCCUUUGAUGAGUAUGCUCAUAUGGACAUUUCUGGAAUCCACACUUUUGAAAAUAAGAAUCGAUGCGGCUGUACCAAGCUCGAGGUGAUUGCUUCAACUCAUACAAAGCUUUGUUCAACUUGUAAACUUUUUCUUCUUCUCAUUUUUUGACAAACCCUGGUGGUUGAUCAACAUAGACUUCUUCUUUGAGAACACCAUUAAAAAAUGCAGAUUUUACGUCCAUUUGGAAUAUUUUUCAAUUGUUUUGGGCGGCAAGAGAAAUAAGUAACCAGACUGUCUCAAGUCUUGAAACUGGAGCAAGUACUUCUAUAAAAUCUUCUCUUUCCUUUUACUUGCAUCCUUUUGCAACCAGUCUUGCCUUGUACUUGUUGAUAGAGCCAUUUGGAUUCAUCUUUUUCUUGUACACCCAUUUGACUCUAAUAGAAUUCUUGUGUGGCGGCAAAUCUAUGAGCUCCCAUGUAUCAUUGUUUUCAAUUGAGCAAAUCUCUUCUUUCAUGGCUUUCCUCCAUAUUUCUUCUUGAUAUGCAUCAUCAAAAGAAAUUGGAUCUUUUCCUGCAAAGAAGGCAAAGAAUACGACAUCAUUUUGCACAACUUCAUCAGUUACAUCAUAUAACUCUUGGAUACUUCUCGUUUUUCGGAUCGGGCUGAAUGAAGAAGAAUUUGAUGAAGAACUUGGGGAAGCAAGAGGAUUUGCUGCUUGAGCAACAUCUUUAACAUUCUCAAUUACUACCUCUUCUUCUUCUUCUAGUUCAAAAGGAAAAAUUGGCAAAUUCUCUUUUCUAACUUCCGUAUAUUUAAACAUGGAAUUUUCAUCAAACAAAACAUCUUGACUUAUCACAAUCUUCUUUGCCAUUGGAUUGUACAACUUGUAUGCCUUACUUCUUUCACUAUAGCCAAUGAAAAUACAAUUCUCUGACUCGUUAUCCAACUUGCUUCUCAUUGCAUCUGGAAUAUGAGAGUAAGCAACACUCCCAAAUACUCUAAGAUAACGAACACUAGGCUUUGUACCAUACCAUGCCUCAUGUGGCAUGCAAUUCUCCAAGCUUCUUGUCGGCGACCUGUUGAUAAGAUAAACUGCACAAGAAACAACUUCAGCACAAAAUCUUCUUGAUAACCUCUUCUUCUUAAGAAAACAUCUAGCCAUCUCCAUAAUUGUUUUGUUCUUUCUUUCACACACACUUUUUUUGCUGAGUUGUAUGGCAGAUUGUUAUUUCAUGCUGAAUGCCACUGUCUCUGCAAUAUUUCUCAAUUUAUUUUGAAAAAUAUUCACCUCUAUGAUCUGUCCGCAAGGUGUUAAUUUUUAGCCCAGUAAAGUUCUUCACUUCUGCCUUGAAAUCUUUGAAUCUCUGGAAAGCCUCUGGUUUUUCUUUGACAUAAUACACCCAUAACUUUCUUGAGUAAUCAUUAAUGAAAGAGAUAAAGUAACAAUUACCUCCCAAAGAUGAAACUGUCAUUGGACCACAAAGAUCCGAGUGAAUAAGUUGCAAUGGUCUUCUUGCUUUCCAUGAGGAUUGAGAAGGAAAAGCAAUUCUGUGUUGCUUUCCAAGCUGACAAGCUUCACAAACAUCGUCAAGCCGAUCGAUCUUUGGUAAACCUCUGACCAUCAUCUUUCUUGAAAGCAGCUCCAAAUUUCCAUAGUUCAAAUGUUCAUAUCUAUCAUGCCAUAACUUUGAAACUCCUUUAUGAGCACUAAUAAAACAAGACGUCUUCUGAUUUUGAAGGGUGAGAGAGAAAAGAUUAUUUGAUGCUACUCCAACUCUAGCAACAACCUGAUUUUUCCUUGACAAGUAACAAGCCAUGUCACGGAAAUGAAUAUCAUGCCCCUUCUUCAAGAGAUGCCUAACGCUAAGCAGAUUAUUUUUAAGACCAGGAACAAAAUAAACUUCAGACAUUUUCUCAACCCUUCCUUACUUUGUUUUCCAACUCCAACUCACCAACACCGCUAACUUUGUAAGCUUUGCCAUCUCCUACUUUUACUUCUCCACAAUCAGAUUCAAAUAACUUUGAGAAUAAAUUUUUGUUACCUAUCAUAUGCUUGCUAGCACCACUGUCUAUGUGUAACACCCCUUACCCGAGACCAUUGCUGGAGUCGAGCACGAGGCGUCAUCUAACUUAACUUACCAAUUCGGAGCAUAAAAAAAAUUGCCUUUAAAAUUAAUUUCACUGUUCACAACAAAACUGUCCACCUACGUGAUUGUCACUAAUUUAAUUAUAACUCUAGUUAAAAAACUCAUAAUUUAAAUCUGUAAAUUUUCCCUAAAACUAGACUCAUAUUCCUAUUUACCAUAAAAUUUUCAGAAUUUUUGGUUUGGUCAAUUAGUACUGUUUAUUCAUUAAAGUUUCCACUGUUUCCCUACUCUACAGUUCUGACCUCUUGGAAAUAAAAAUCAAUUAUCUAAUUGUACAGAAUUCAUAUAAUGUUAUCGUUUGUUUAUUUUGAAAAUAGACUCAUUAAGGAAUCUAUACAUAUAAAUUAUGAACCAUAAUCAUUUCUGUACAAUUUAUAAUGAUUUUCUAAAGUCAGAACAGGGGACUUCAAAAACCAUUCUAACCCUAUCUCACUAAAAUUCAAAUAUCUCAAAAUAUAAAAUUCCUUUUCUUACACCGUUUCUUUUACAUAAAAAUAGACUUGAUAAUAUUUAAUCGUAUAUCUCAUUCAGUCUCUAAUUCCAUUUCUACUAUUUUUGGUGAUUUUUUAAAUUCACGUCACUGCUGCUGUCCAAAAACUGCUUCUUUAUAUUAGAUACCAUUUAAACAUACAUAACACCGAAACAUAUUCUUUACUAACCAUUUCAAUAGCUAAUCUUAGCCAUAUCAUUUGAACAUACUCAAAAUGAUUAAGACUCUAUACAUGCCAUAGCUUUAAACAUUUUGAAAACACAUAAUAUCAAGGUGGCUGUGAUAGUGUGAUACAAGCUCCGACGAUCCCCAAUUCGAGCAAGCUCAAAACACUCGGAUGCAAAACGACUAUUUUUGUAAAUUAGUCGAUAACCUUCUCUUUUCCCCGAUCACUUCCACUAUUUCUUCUUUCUUGAUAAUUGAGCUUAGAAAAAUCAAGAACCCUAGCUUAUAGAACAUGAAAGUUUCGGCAACAACUCUUUAAUAUUUUGAAGAAAUGGACAUUUAUUUUCACUUUAUUUUGUUUUUUAUUCACUUUUGACAAAAAUACCCUUGACCCAUUUACUUAGAUAUUUUUCUAGAAUUACCCUUUUGAGUCCAUAACACUAAUUUAUGGUCUAUUUUCCACAUAAACACUUCCAAUUUCAUGCAAUAAUUCAAUUAAGUCAUUUAAUCACUAAUUAGACACACUUUGCAUUUUUCUCAAUUUAGUCCUAAAAAAUCAAUUAGGCACUAAAUCAUUAAAAUUUCCUAUCCAUAUUUUCAUACAAUAUUUCAAUCAAUCAGUAAUUAAUAAAAAUUUAUAAAAUUAAACUAUUUCACUUCGGAUUUGUGGUUAUAAAACCACUAUUUCGAUUAGGCCCUAUUUCAGGCUAUCACACUAUGUACCAGACAUCAUCAAUCUCUCCACCAUGAGACACGAGCAACAAAGUUUCUUGCUUUUCCUCUUGAUAAUUUUGCACUAUAUUAGCUUCAUCUUUCUCUUCUUUCUUAUACCAGCAUUCACUCGCCAAAUGACUAGGUUUGUGACAAUGAUAACAUUUAAAUUAGCCACGACCUCUUCCUCUUUGAUUUCCAUGUCCACGUCCUCUUUGUGAACCUCUAAAAUUCUAAUUUUGGUUGGCUUCUUUCCAUCCAUUCUCCGUGCUUGCAUCUUCACCUCUUCCACGAGCAUUUCAGCCUCUUCCUUUAAAGUUUCUUCCUCUUCUACGACCACGAUCUCUCCCUCUUUGAUUUUUAAAAUCUUCCUUCUUCUCAUUUAGAGACAACUUUGACUGGAGUGCUUGAUCUAGAUUUACUUCCUUCUUCUUCUUGUUUAAUCUUUCUUCAUGGGCUUGCAACGAGCCUGUGAGUUCAUCAAUGGUCAUGGUACUCAAGUCCUUUGAUUCUUCAAUGGCUACCACAAUGUAGUCAAAUCUAGAAUCCAAAGAACGGAGGAUUUCCUCAACAACACGAAUAUCAUCCAUAGUUUCACCAUUUCUUUUUAAUUGGUUGACUAUGGACAAAACUCAUGAAUAGUAAUCAGAAACAGAUUCUGACUCUGUUUUUUGUAAUCUUUCAAACUCCCCUCGAAGAGUUUGCAACCAAACUCUUUUCACCUUUUCAUCUCCUUUGAAUGAAUUCUGUAAAAUCUCCCAUGCUUGUUUUGCCAAGGUGGCACAAGUGAUUUUUUCCCAAUCUGCUUCAUAUGAUUGAACUCUUUGAUAUAUCCAAAAUAAGGCUUGUUGAUUUUUCUUCCUUGAUUUUCUUAGACUCUCUUUUUGAGCUUGUGUUAAUCCUUCCUCCUCUUCAGCCUCAACUUCAUUAUAACCUUUUUCAACAAUCUCCCAUUCUUCUAGAUAUCCAAGAAGAGCCUUCAUUUGGAUACUCCAUUUGCCAUAAUUUUCUUUGGUUAAUUAGGGAACGGAAGAAAGAGAAAUAGAAUUGUUCAUGUCGAUCAAACUUUGCUCUGAUACCAACUUGUAGAAGAUUGAUUAAUAUUUGGAGAAAUAAAACAAAGAAAAUGAUGAAGAAUAUAAUGGAGAAGAGAAAUAAAUUUUGUAUGGAAGAGAGAAACACCCUUUCUAAUAAACUUUUCUUUUUUAUUUCACAUACUCUACAAAUGCUUCAUCACAUACAACUCUUUAUAUAGGAGUUGUAAGUGACUAUUCAUCCACAUCACUUAAAUGCUAUAGGAGUUGUGACUAUUCAUCUACAUGCAUGUGUGUAACUCUUCAUCUUCAAGUCUCUUCGCAUUUCUAACUCUUCAUAAUUUAUUUUGUGCAAGAUUAAUUUAACUAUGUGCCAACAAUUUAAGGGUUCUAAAGCAUCUUGGGUCUGGAGUAGCAUUAUUGAAGGCAAGGAUUUUCUUAAAGGAACGUUGUUAUGGAAAAUUCAAAACGGAGAAUCUGUUCACAUAUGGGAGGACAGAUGGUUGAGGGGCAAUUGAGCCUCUUUCUUAUCCUGGACAGGUGGAUGAACCAUUACCAAUACUAGCAGCUGAAAUCAUAUGUAAAGAGCGUGAAUGCUGGAAUUUGGCUGCAAUCUCAAAGUGGCUAAACAACAGAGAAAUUGCUGAAAUCCACCAAAUUCCGGUGUAUAAUACUAAGGAGCAAGACAGGUUGGUUUGGCCAUAUAAUAUACAAUAGGGCAAUAUUCUGUUAAGUCCGGUUAUAAAGAGCUGAAGAAGCAAUCUGGUAAUGUGCUUACUUCUAAACCCUCUAGUUCCUAUGUGAUUGAGGUUUGUACCUAGAAAUUUAUAUGGAAACUACAGGUCCCUAGCAAAAUAAAGAUUUUUAUUUGCAAACUGUGUCAUAAUGCUAUUCCUUCAUGGCUUAAUCUUUGGAAAAGAAAGUGUGCGCAAAACUCAACUUGCUCGAUUUUUCAAGAGGAAGUGAAUCUGUUGAACAUCUUAUUUUGGGGUAUGAUUGGGUUAGGGGCGUUUGGUUUGAAGUAUGCUCUGGAUUGAAGAUCAAAAGGGAGGAUAUCAAGUCGUUUGAUGUGAAGUAAAUUUGGGAAUAGGAGUAUGAUGGUUAAGCUUGUAUAUACUUGCUCGUACAUUUGGAAGGUUAGAUGUGAAGUGGUUCUUGGAGGGAAAACUCUGGAUGUUGGACAGACCAUUCGAAGGAUCAAAUUGUCAUCUCAGGAGUUUCUUAAAGUUCAAGAGCAAAAGGUUGAAUGUGGUCCAUUAUUUGGUAGUAAAGAAUUACUGUUGAUUAUAAUUGGAUGAAUCCUCCUGAGAAUUGGAUUAAAAUAAAUUGUGAUGCAAGCUUUAAAGAAGAAUCUGAGAUGGCUAGGAUUGGGGUAAUUGGAAGAGAUUGGACUGGUUCGAUGAUUGAUGGGAUUGAGAAAGAAUUGAAGGUUUGUUCUGCAGAAGCUGCUGAAGCAUGGCCAGUUUUAACAGGGAUUGAGCUUGCAGUGAAGAAUCGAUGGGCUAAAAUUAUUAUUGAGACUGAUUAUUGCUAAACAGAUUGAGGUUGGAGGAGCAGAGAGGAGAAGGAGCAUUGGUCCCAUUUUGCAUAAAUUUGAUAGGCUGUUGAAUGAAAUAUCAGAGUUGAAGUUUCCCUCAUUAAGCGCGAAGCUAAUAGAGCGGCUGAUUGGAUGGCUAAGGCUUCUCAAAAGGGGAUGUGCAACAAUGGUUGGACUUGACAACCACCAUCUUCUUUGGUGUUCAUUCUGGACAAGGACGAAUUUCCUACUCCCCCUUCGAACUGAUAUUCAAGCUAGUUUUACAGUGAGGUAGCUGUGGCUCUCUUGUACUUGUGAGUCAAAUUUUUUACCACAACUUUUUGUAUUUUCUGAUAUAAUGAAAGUUUUGAUGUUUUUAUGGCAGAAAAAAAAAAAAAACUAAUUUGUAAGCUUAGAAAUAUCUCACUUCAUUACAAAGUGAAAAUAAAAUAAAGCCAAAACUAUAAGAUGUAUAUAUAUAAAAAAUAAAGGGAGAAUAUUUAAUGUAUAGGUAGGGGUUAGUGUUCAAUUGAAUCUAGUAAAAAUAUUUCAAGUUAAUCAAGUUGAUAAAUCCUAUUUUAUCAUUCUAAUUCGAUUAUUAAAUUUUUUCGAAUUGAAUUGAGUGAAAUGAAAUUCGAGCCAAGUCGAAUCGAAUCGAGUGAAAUUGUUCAGUUAAAUUAAAAAAUUAAAUAUAUCAAAUUAAAAUCUUGUUACAGUAUAAUUAAUUUAAUGUUAGAACACCUAAAAUUGAAACUAUAUAUAUUUGAAAACCUUUUCAAAGCAUAAUAAUAAUAAUAAUAAUAAUAAUAAUAAUAAUAAUAAUAAUAAUAAUAAUAAUAAUAAGAUACUUUAGUAUUAAAAACAUGAAUAAUUAAUUAACUUAUUUAUGUUUCCAAAUUUAUUAUUUUAAAAAUUUAAAUUUAACUUUCUUUAUAUAAUUUUAAAUUUUAUUUUUUAAAAAUAUAAAUUUUAUAAUUUUAUAAAUAUUUUGAAUUUUAAAAAUUGUUUUGAAUUUUUUUUUUGUUGAGAGAGAUCAAUUUGCUCCUUUUCAAAAUUGACACGGAUUAAAGGGGUAUUUACACCAAUCUAUUAUUUGAGUUGUAAAAUUCAACUCGACUCGAACUCGAAUAACUUAAAAUUCAAUUUUUUUAAUUUUUUUCAAAUUGAAUCGAGUUUUGUUCACCCCUAACCGUAUGUGCAUAUAUUUUAUAUACCAUCAAGUGAUAAUCAAAUGACACAUUAUUACUAGUGUAAAAUAAAAAUUAUUGAAGGGUUUAAAAAUAGUAGACAUUGGUGAACAUUUUCAUAAUGUUCUUAUUAUUCAUUAGUAUUGUUGUUUGAGGUUUGAUCAAACUCUUGAGAUUGGUUAGAGGUAAAGCUUGCAGAAGAAUUGGUUCUUUAGGGAAAGGAAACAUAAUUUAAUUUUCUUAUUUCCUACAAGCGGGUUCUAUUAUGAGAAUUUCUGAAUUACUAUCAUUGCCUAUCAUUCUGCCACCAAUUUGACAUUAGAAAUGAAAUUUCUCUUAAAAAACAUGUUUCCAUAUAAAAUAAAAAAAUAGAAGAAAGAAUAUUUCAGAAUAUUAUAAAGAAAACCAAAGUAUAGGAAAUACAGUAAAUAAAAGAAAAUACAAAAAUUGAAAAAAAUAGAUAAAUGAUAAAAUGUUAUAGAUGUGAAAAAUCAUGACACAUGUCAAAAUCCCUAAUGCAAAAAUUGUAUUAAAGAUAUCAAAUAUCAAACAUAUUUUGUAAUGAUAAAAGAUAUUACCCAAGACAUUAUAUUAGGAACCCCUUUAUAUCUUUACUCAAACCUUACAAAGUAACAAAUCACAAAGUUAAAAAUCUUAACUUAUUAACAUUUUUAUUCAUUACAAAUCAAUAAUUUAAUUAAUCAUAAAUAGAACAAUUUUUUUUAAAGAAGAAAUAUGUUUUUUUAAAAAAUUAAAUGAAAAAUUAGAAAAAAAACAGAAGUUCAAAGGAGAAUAAAUCAAAUCAAAGAAGAAAUCGAGUCAACAAUAUGCUCUGACAUCUCUAAUGCCUUUUGGAAUAGGAAAAAACAUGAAGUAACAUUACCAUAUGAAAAUGAUUUUGUUGAAAGACAAAUCCUAACAAAAGUAAAGCCAAUAAAAAUGAAUAAAGAGAUGGAAACUUUUGUUAAAAAGAAAGACAAGAUUUUCUCAAUAAAAAAUUAAUAAAAAAAGUAACUUUUCUUACAGUUGUUCAGCAUUUUAUGUGAUGAAAAAUGCAGAACUUGAAAGAGGAACACUAGUAUUAGUCAUUAAUUAUAAACCUCUCAAUCAAUGUAGAAAGGAAUUAUUAUUACUAACAUAAAAAAAAAAUCAAAUUCAAAACUUGACACCCAAAAAAAUUUGGAAUCUAAAAUCCGAAAGAUCAAUAAAAAUUAUAGCUAAUAUUUAAUUAUGUUUAACUAAAAAAUAAAGUUAAAUGUAUUUAUUUUCAAGUCUUUCAAUACUUUUUAUUUUAUACCAAUAAUGAUCUUUCAUAUUAUUAACUGAUGGUGCAUGAAACCUAAACACUGACAAUGCAUCAAAUAUUAUCUCAUAUAUAAAGUUAACAACUAUAUAUUGAAUUCAUGGUUGAAUAAGAAUAUAAAAUUAGGAGACAGAUCCCUAUUUUUUGUAGAGGUAACUUCAAUGUUGAAAUUGUUACUUAUAUGUUUCUACGUGUUUUUUUUUUCAUAAUAAUUUAUUUGACCUUUCAACUUUACAAAAAGAAAUCAUUUUAAGUUUCUACUUAAAUUUUUGUUUCUUUUAUCUUUUAAACUUGUAUUGUUUGUUAACGUCAAUCCACGUGAACUGACACGUAUUUACUACAUUAGCAAUUGAUUAAUUUUUAAAAGAUUAAAAAUAUAUUAUAUACCUUUUUAAUAAUUUUAAAUUUUUAAAAUUUGAAAGAUUAAUUAAUUGUUGAUAUGUCAGUCACGUUUGUGUGAUAUCAGUAAAAUUAACAAAUAUUAACUUUUAUUUUAUUUUAGUAUAAAUUUAAAGAUUAAAAAGGGAAGAAAAAUUAAAUAAAAAAUAUUAUUAUGCGUUUGAGAUAAAUGAUGAGGCAAAGUACAACAAAGGAGUAACAUCAGACAAAGCCAAACACCAGAAUCACAUCAGAAGAGUGCAGAAGAACCUCUAGUGGUGCAAUCAAUUAUCAAUUAGAUAGCCGUGUUUAUUAGUUAAUAUAUUAAUGUAAAAACAAAACUUUCCAUUCAAGCAUAUUUUUUAAUAUAACAAAAUUCAGCUCCAUACUAAAAGUCUCAUUGCUUUAAUACCUUAUCCUUUCAGGAUCUCAAAUACAAAGUUUUAUUCCCUUUUUUUCCAACAAAAAUUUAUGCCUAAUACACAAAUCACUAUUUUUUCAAAGGGAUUCAAAGUUUAAUGAAAAAAUGGGUUGAUGUUACAUUUAAAGUUAUUUAAUUAUUAAUACGAAUACAGUAUCAAUAUAAAAAAUAUUUCAAACAUAUUAUUAACAUCUCAAAAUUUAAUAUGAAUUUCAUGUGAUAGCUUGAUGGUUAAGGGUGUUCAUCAUUCCAGUUGUUACCUGAGUUUAAGUCACACUAGUUAUAUGUAUACUUAUGCUUUGGUGACUAUUAGGUUACCAGGAUAAUGAUGUACAUGGAGUUUUGUAAGUACUAGCAACUGACACUAGUUAGUAAAAGAAAAUUAUUUCAAUAAUUCUUAAAAAUAUAUAAUUAAGAUUCAAGUAUAUUUUGGAAAUUUUUAAUUUAGAGAUGACUUUUAUGUACUAAUUUUUUUUAUGUAAUACAUCCGUUGAAAUUAUUUAUUUAAUUAUGUGAUGUGAGUUUAGUUUUAGUCCCCAACAAUUAUAUUUUAAAUACACUAAAUUAUUAGUAAAUUUAUGUUUUAGUUAUUUAAUUUUAAAAAAUUACAAAAUGGUCAUUGAACUAUUUGAAAGUUUUUAUUGAAGUCAUUAGGCUAUUAAGGUUUUACUUUAAAGUCUUGCUAGCAAGCUUCAAGCAAUGAUUCGAUCCAAGUCGAUUUGACUAUCAAUGUCAAUGAUGGGAGAAAAAUUUUGUUUGAAUUUUGGUUCGCAGAUUCAUGAGUUUAAAAGUUAUUUCUUGAAAAAAAGGUGAAUUGUAGAAGAGAAAGGGAAUGAGAGCUUUCGAUAGAUACAGGUGGUGCAAAUAGAGAAGGCCAUACAAUAAUUUUAAUAGCUCAGUGACUUAAAUGAAAAUUUUUGAAUAGUUUAAUGAUCAAUUUGUAACUUUUUUUUUUAAAUUGAGUAACGAAACAUAAACUUACUAAUAGUUUAGAUCACAAUGGAAGUAGUUUACCUUUAUAUUGUUAAUUUAUUAUACAAAAUUUAUUUAAUUUAAAAAUAAUACUUUAUCAAAAAAAUCCAAAUAGGUUAAAAAUAUUUCUUUAAUUGAAAAGAAUUUGUACUUAGAAGUGAAAAGACACAUCAAGAAUAUGAAUAAAGAAAAGGAAAAGGAAUAUAAAAAAGUUUUGAUGUGAAUGAAGUCUACUAAUUUCAUGCGCAUAAACGUCCUUAUUAUGGACAAUGCAUGCAUGGUGUAAACUAGUAUAUAAGUAGGUGUGUAUUGCAAUAUUUGAAGCAUAACACAACCAAAACAAGCUUUAGCUAACCAAAGCACAUACAAAGCUACCAUGGCUAAUUUUCAAAUGAAAAAAGUUCAACAAUGCACACACGGCAAGCUGUGGAACUCUUCCAGCGAAGCUCUAACCUUGACCGACAAGAAAGUUUGGCAAGGCUCUCAUUAUGCGGAUUUCCCAGAAAUAAUUGAAGAUGGGGAUGCGAGUGAGUUUACACAUGAAUCAGUGACUGAUGAUGCUGAUAUUCAUGGUUCAGUUGCUGGUCUUGUGUACAGGCGACGUGAUGGAACUAAGUGGAUUGUUGCCUGGAGCAACCCACAAGCUGAGAACAGCAAGGUAUAUAUUGCAUUCAAUUCAAUCUUACCAUUAAUUAACUAAUUAGAAUGUGUAUAAAUAAUCAUUUAAUUUAUGAUUCAUUUCAUGCAUGUUGCAGGUCUAUACUGAUAUCCAGAGACAACCUGUUCACUGGGGGCAAAUCAAAACCAACCUUGAGAAAAGAGGAAAACCAAAAUUUAAAGUUACAAAGUUUGGUUACAAUGCAUCUAUUGAAAUUGAUCCCGUGAGUCGUUCACCCACAAUGAAGGCAUCAUUUGAGUUAGAGGCAUAACUGCCUUAUCGUCUUCAUCAAGCUGUGGUGGUAAUUAAGGCUAUCAAAAUUAAAUAAUAGUGUGAUGCUUGCUGCUGCAUUACCUGUACUACUAUUAUAGUAAAAAGAUUUGAUAGCCA
rnacentral:lncRNA from 1 species